rnacentral:rRNA from 1 species
GAUGAACGCUGGCGGCGUGCCUAAUACAUGCAAGUCGAGCGAACAGACGAGGAGCUUGCUCCUCUGACGUUAGCGGCGGACGGGUGAGUAACACGUGGAUAACCUACCUAUAAGACUGGGAUAACUUCGGGAAACCGGAGCUAAUACCGGAUAAUAUAUUUAACCGCAUGGUUCAAUAGUGAAAGACGGUUUUGCUGUCACUUAUAGAUGGAUCCGCGCCGCAUUAGCUAGUUGGUAAGGUAACGGCUUACCAAGGCAACGAUGCGUAGCCGACCUGAGAGGGUGAUCGGCCACACGGGAACUGAGACACGGUCCAGACUCCUACGGGAGGCAGCAGUAGGGAAUCUUCCGCAAUGGGCGAAAGCCUGACGGAGCAACGCCGCGUGAGUGAUGAAGGUCUUCGGAUCGUAAAACUCUGUUAUUAGGGAAGAACAAAUGUGUAAGUAACUAUGCACGUCUUGACGGUACCUAAUCAGAAAGCCACGGCUAACUACGUG